UACGGGGGGGGCAAGCGUUGUUCGGAAUUACUGGGCGUAAAGGGCUCGUAGGCGGCCAACUAAGUCGGAUGUGAAAUCCCCAGGCUCAACCUGGGAACUGCAUCCGAUACUGGAUGGCUUGAAUCCGGGAGAGGGAUGCAGAAUUCCAGGUGUAGCGGUGAAAUGCGUAGAUAUCUGGAGGAACCCCAGAGGCGAAGGCGGCGCCCUGGCUCGCAACUGACGCUCAGACACGACAGCAUGGGGAGCGAACGGG
rnacentral:rRNA from 1 species